rnacentral:rRNA from 1 species
UGCAGUCGAACGCAGUAGCAAUACUGAGUGGCAGACGGGUGAGUAACACGUGGGAAUCUGCCUUGUGGUUCAGGACAACAUUGGGAAACCGAUGCUAAUACUGGAUAAGCCCUUACGGGGAAAGUUUUAAUGCCAUAAGAUGAGCCCGCAUUUGAUUAGUUAGUUGGUGAGGUAAUGGCUCACCAAGACAAUGAUCAAUAGCUGAUCUGAGAGGAUGAUCAGCCACACUGGGACUGAGACACGGCCCAGACUCCUACGGGAGGCAGCAGUGGGGAAUCUUGCACAAUGGAGGAAACUCUGAUGCAGCGAUGCCGCGUGAGUGAAGAAGGCCUUUGGGUUGUAAAGCUCUUUUGUAGGGGAAGAUAAUGACUGUACCCUAAGAAUAAGGUCCGGCUAACUUCGUGCCAGCAGCCGCGGUAAUACGAAGGGACCUAGCGUAGUUCGGAAUUACUGGGCGUAAAGCGCGCGUAGGCCGUUGAGUUAGUUAAUUGUGAAAUCCCAAAGCUUAACUUUGGAACUGCAAUUAAAACUGCUCGACUAGAGUUUGAUAGAGGAAAGCGGAAUACAUAGUGUAGAGGUGAAAUUCGUAGAUAUUAUGUAGAACACCAGUUGCGAAGGCGGCUUUCUGGAUCAACACUGACGCUGAGGCGCGAAAGUAUGGGUAGCGAAGAGGAUUAGAUACCCUCGUAGUCCAUACCAUAAACGAUGAUUGCUAGAUGUUGGAAAUUUAUUUUCAGUAUCGCAGCUAACGCAUUAAGCAGUCCGCCUGGGGAGUACGACCGCAAGGUUAAAACUCAAAUGAAUUGACGGGGACCCGCACAAGCGGUGGAGCAUGUGGUUUAAUUCGAAGAUACGCGCAGAACCUUACCAACCCUUGACAUGUCUGUCGCGAGUUUAGGAAACUAGACUUUUCGGUUCGGCCGGACAGAACACAGGUGCUGCAUGGCUGUCGUCAGCUCGUGUCGUGAGAUGUUGGGUUAA